AGAGUUUGAUCCUGGCUCAGAACGAACGCUGGCGGCGUGCCUAACACAUGCAAGUCGAACGUGAACUUCGUCUUCGGACGAAUAGUAAAGUGGCGCACGGGUGAGUAACGCGUGGGUAAUUUGCCCUGAGGACCGGGAUAACCAGCCGAAAGGCUGGCUAAUACCGGAUAAAGUCAUGUUUCAUAAGUGACAUGACCAAAGGUGGCUUCGGCUGCCGUCUCUGGAUGAGCCCGCGUACCAUUAGCUAGUUGGUGGGGUAAAGGCCUACCAAGGCAACGAUGGUUAGCUGGUCUGAGAGGACGACCAGCCACACUGGAACUGAGACACGGUCCAGACUCCUACGGGAGGCAGCAGUGGGGAAUAUUGCGCAAUGGGGGAAACCCUGACGCAGCGACGCCGCGUGAGCGAUGAAGGCCCUCGGGUCGUAAAGCUCUGUCAGGUGGGAAGAAACUUCUGGUGAUUAAUAGUCGCUGGAACUGACGUACCACCAGAGAAGCACCGCUAACU
rnacentral:rRNA from 1 species